CGCAUCUGUGCAUGCAGCAUAUCAAUAAGCGGAGGAAAAGAAACUAACAAGGAUUCCCUUAGUAACGGCGAGUGAAGCGGGAAGAGCUCAAAUUUGAAAUCUUCAAGGUUUUACCUUGACGAGUUGUAGUUUAAAGAAGUGUUUUCUGCUGAAGUUUUGGUAAAAGUUCUUUGGAAUAGGACAUCAUAGAGGGUGAGAAUCCCGUAUUUGACCAUUAUUUUCAAGCUUUGUGAUACACUUUCAAAGAGUCGGAUUGUUUGGGAAUGCAGUCCAAAAUGGGUGGUAAAUUUCAUCUAAAGCUAAAUAUUGGCGAGAGACCGAUAGCGAACAAGUACCGUGAGGGAAAGAUGAAAAGAACUUUGAAAAGAGAGUUAAACAGUACGUGAAAUUGUCAAAAGGGAAGCGUUUGACACCAGUGUUGUUUUCUCGAAAAUCAAUUAAAGAAUGCUCGAUUUAUGUAAUUGCUGUAGACCUUAUAAGCUCAUCUGUACAGUUUUCGUGUCUUUUUUAAUGCACUUUUCAGUUUAACAAGUCAACAUCAAUUUCUUUUGUUGUAAAAAGGGUCAUUGGAAGGUGGCUUCUUUCGAGAUGUAUAAGUGUUUAUAGCCUUUGGCCUCUGCAGUCGGAGAGACUGAGGUCUGCAGCGUAGACUCUUCGGGGUUAGAUAGCAUUUGUGCUAAGUUAUAGCAUUUUAUAGACAACUUGUUGACUAUGAUUAGUCUUGUAGCUUACUCGCUUAUGCUAUUUUACCUACGCUUAGGAUGUUGAUAGUCACAGCGUGUAC
rnacentral:rRNA from 1 species